AAGUCGUAACAAGGUUUCCGUAGGUGAACCUAUCAUUAACACGUAUCCAACGUUAAAACCCCCGUGAACCUUCAGUGUGCUCGUACGCUUUGUUAGAGAGUAGCAAUCCUGGUAAAUCAUCGCCGAACAGUUUUGAUUCAGGGACUUCUGCGAAUGUAGCGCGAGGCAAGUGGCCAUCCUUGUCUGAAAGUGUCAAGGGUGGCGCAGUCACGAUCGCUAGAGGCCGACACGGCCGGCGGGCUCACGCCCCUUAAUAACCUUUGCAUGAAAACGGGCCUGCGCUUAAUUGUGCGGCCAUAAACCGAACAACUGUUAACAAUGGAUAUCUUGGUUCUC
rnacentral:misc_RNA from 1 species